ACAGAGGUCCCAAGCGUUGUUCGGAUUCACUGGGCGUAAAGGGUGCGUAGGUGGCGAUGCAAGUCGGAUGUGAAAUCUCCGAGCUCAACUCGGAAACUGCAUUGGAAACUACUUUGCUUGAGGGUGGGAGGGGGAGCUGGAAUACUUGGUGUAGUGGUGAAAUGCGUAGAUAUCAGGUAGAACACCAGUGGCGAAGGCGAGUCACUGGGCCACUCCUGACACUGAGGCACGAAAGCUAGGGGAGCAAACAG
rnacentral:rRNA from 1 species